rnacentral:rRNA from 1 species
AGUGCGAAUGCUGACAUAAGUAACGAUAAAGCGGGUGAAAAGCCCGCUCGCCGGAAGACCAAGGGUUCCUGUCCAACGUUAAUCGGGGCAGGGUGAGUCGACCCCUAAGGCGAGGCCGAAAGGCGUAGUCGAUGGGAAACAGGUUAAUAUUCCUGUACUUGGUGUUACUGCGAAGGGGGGACGGAGAAGGCUAUGUUGGCCGGGCGACGGUUGUCCCGGUUUAAGCGUGUAGGCUGGUUUUCCAGGCAAAUCCGGAAAAUCAAGGCUGAGGCGUGAUGACGAGGCACUACGGUGCUGAAGCAACAAAUGCCCUGCUUCCAGGAAAAGCCUCUAAGCAUCAGGUAACAUCAAAUCGUACCCCAAACCGACACAGGUGGUCAGGUAGAGAAUACCAAGGCGCUUGAGAGAACUCGGGUGAAGGAACUAGGCAAAAUGGUGCCGUAACUUCGGGAGAAGGCACGCUGAUAUGUAGGUGAAGCGACUUGCUCGUGGAGCUGAAAUCAGUCGAAGAUACCAGCUGGCUGCAACUGUUUAUUAAAAACACAGCACUGUGCAAAC